rnacentral:rRNA from 1 species
GUGGCAUAUGGUGGAUGCCUGGGCACGUAUGACCGAUGAAAGACGUGUGGGGCCGCGAUAGGCCUCGGGGAGCUGCCGACAGGGCGUUGAUCCGAGGGUGUCUGAAUGGGGUAACCUGCCACCUGUUAUGGGGUGGUACCGCGUAUAUGCGGGGGGUACGCAGGGAAGUGAAACAUCUUAGUACCUGCAGGAAAAGAUAUUCCGUUAGUAGUGGCGAGCGAAAGCGGAGGAGACUAAACCAUGCGCGUGGUAUAAGCGCCUGCUGGUGCGUGUGUGGUGUUGUGGGGUUUCUUGAGGAGGUCAGGCGGCUUCCUGCCUAGUGAUAAAGUCUGGUGUGAGGUGAACAUGGUUGAAGACAUGACCGUAGAGGGUGAUGGUCCCGUAGCUGAAGAUGCCAGGCCUGGGAAGAAUGUCCCCGAGUAGCACGAGCCUCGUGGAAUCUCGUGUGAAUCUGCCCUGACCGUGGGGUAAGUCUAAAUAUAUGUACGUGACCGAUAGUGGACGAGUACCGUGAGGGAAAGGUGAAAAGUAGCCCGGGAGGGUAGUGAAAUAGUUCCUGAAACCAUGUGCUUUCAAUCCGUCAGAGCCUCUUUUGGGGGUGAUGGCGUGCCUAUCGAAAAAUGAGUCUGCGAGUCAGUGGCAUGUAGCGAGGUUAACCCGUGUGGGGGAUCCGUAGCGAAAGCGAGUGUCAAUAGCGCGUUUUAGUUGCAUGUUCUGGACCCGAAGCGGGAUGAUCUAGCCGUGAGCAGGUUGAAGCGUGGGUGAGACCGCGUGGAGGACCGAACCCACCUAGGUUGAAAACUGGGGGGAUGACUUGUGGUUAGGGGUGAAAGGCCAAUCAAAUUCCGUGAUAGCUGGUUCUCUCCGAAAUGCAUUUAGGUGCAGCGUUCGUGGUCGCCUUCCGGGGGUAGAGCUACUGGAUGCCAAAGGGCCCGUAUGGGGUACUGAUGGCAACCAAACUCCGAAUACCGGUAUGGUUGUGCACGGGCAGUGAGUCAGCGGGGGAUAAGCUCCGUUGUCGAAAGGGAAACAGCCCAGAUCGUCGUUUAAGGUCCCUAAGCGUGUGCUAAGUGGGAAAGGAUGUGGAGUCGCAUGGACAGCCAGGAGGUUGGCUUAGAAGCAGCUAUCCUUGAAAGAGUGCGUAACAGCUCACUGGUCUAGUGUCUCCGCGCCGACAAUGUAGCGGGGCUCAAGCACACCACCGAAAACGCGGCAGCCGCCUCUUUGUGGGGUGGCUGGGUAGGAGAGCGUUCCCUACGGGGUGAAGCCACGGGGUAACCGUGUGGUGGACUGUAGGGAAGUGAGAAUGCAGACAUGAGUAACGAAACGCGGGUGACAAUCCCGCGCGCUGGAUGACUAAGGGUUCCGGGGCCACGGUUAACGUCCCCGGGUGAGUCGGGUCCUAAGGCGAGGCCGACAGGCGUAGUCGAAUGGAUGAACGGGUUGAUAUUCCCGUACCGGUAUCACACCGCCCACACUCGAGGCAUCACACGCUAGGCACUGUUUCCUUCCUGUAGGCCCUUUCGGGGGUGUACAGGGGGUGGUGGUGUGCUGGUGGUGGGUGUAGUAGGGGAGCAGGGGAGUGACGCAUGGGGUAAGCUGGCCUGGCCUGGUGGUUAUGGCUGGUUAAGCGUGUAGCAGGUGUCAGAGGCUAAUCCCUGACAGCAGACUGUGAGACGUGAUGAGCAUCAUCUUUAGGGGUGGUGUGCUGGUGGUGCCUUGUGCCGAGAAAAGCUUCACUGUUAGGUGUGGUUCCGCUCGUACCCUAAACCGACACAGGUGGUCAGGUAGAGAAUACUAAAGCGUUCGAGUGAAUCCUGGUCAAGGAACUCGGCAAAUUGCUCCCGUGCCUUCGGCAUAAGGGAGGCCCUGUGAGAUGAUCCCGCCUAGCGUGGGUGAGUGUUGUGGGGCGGCACAAAACAGGGGGUAGCGACUGUUUACCAAAAACACAGGUGCAUGCCAAGACGUAAGUCGCUGUAUAUGCACUGACGCCUGCCCGGUGCUGGAAGGUUAAGAGGAUCCGUUAACCCGUCUGGGUGACGCGGUGAAUUUAAGCCCCAGUAAACGGCGGUGGUAACUAUAACCAUCCUAAGGUAGCGAAAUUCCUUGUCGGGUAAGUUCCGACCUGCACGAAUGGCGUAACGACUUCCCCACUGUCUCGACCAGGACCUCGGUGAAAUUGCAGUACGAGUAAAGAUGCUCGUUAAGCGCAGAAGGACGAAAAGACCCCGGGACCUUUACUAUACCUUGGUAUUGUCGUUCGCUGCUGGUUGUGUAGAAUAGGCGGGAGACUAUGAAACCCGGCCGCUAGGCUGGGUGGAGUCAUCAAGUGAAAUACCGUUCUGCUGGCAGUGGGCGUCUAACCUGAGCAUGUUAUCCAUGCUAGGGACAGUGCCUGGCGGGUAGUUUAACUGGGGCGGUUGCCUCCUAAAGAGUAACGGAGGCGCUCAAAGGUCCGCUCAACCCGGUUGGCAAUCGGGUGUUGAGUGUAAUCACACAAGCGGGCUUGACUGUGAGACUGACAGGUCGAGCAGGGACGAAAGUCGGAGAUAAUGAUCCGGUGCCGGUGUACGGACGCGGCAUCGCUCAACGGAUAAAAGGUACCCCGGGGAUAACAGGCUGAUCAUUCCCAAGAGUCCAUAUCGACGGGAUGGUUUGGCACCUCGAUGUCGGCUCGUCGCAUCCUGGGGCUGGAGCAGGUCCCAAGGGUUUGGCUGUUCGCCAAUUAAAGCGGCACGCGAGCUGGGUUCAGAACGUCGUGAGACAGUUUGGUCUCUAUCCUCUGCGCUCGUUGGAAUCUUGAGGAGCCCUGCCCAUAGUACGAGAGGACCUGGGUGGACGAACCUCUGGUAUGCCAGUUGUCACGCCCGUGGCACUGCUGGUUAGCUACGUUCGGAUAGGAUAACCGCUGAAAGCAUCUAAGCGGGAAGCCUUCUCCAAGAUAAGGAUUCCCCCACACCUUUGAGUGUGAAGAGUCCCCCCACCAGACCAUGGGGUUAAUAGGCCAGACGUGGACACAUGGCAACAUGCGCAGCUGACUGGUACUAACGGACAACAGCACCAAC